rnacentral:rRNA from 1 species
CGGAAUUCACUCAGGCUCAGCCAUGCAUGUGUAAGUAUAAAUAAUUUUACUUUGAAACUGCGAAUGGCUCAUUAUAUCAGUUAUAGUUUAUUAGAAAUAUUUUACUACUUGGAUAACCGUAGUAAUUCUAGGGCUAAUACAUGAGUAAAACCUCAACUUCGGAAGAGGUGUGUUUAUUAGUAUGAAAACCAUAUAUCUUCGGAUAUAAUAGUGAGUAAUAAUAACCUUUCAUAUCGUAUGUCGUAAGAUAACGAUAGUUCUUUCAAGUUUCUGCCCUAUCAGCUUUCGAUGGUAGUAUAUGGGACUACCAUGGCAGUAACGGGUAACGAAGAAUUUGGGUUCGAUUUCGGAGAGGGAGCCUGAGAGAUGGCUACCACAUCCAAGGAAGGCAGCAGGCGCGUAAAUUACCCAAUCCUGACAUAGGGAGGUAGUGACAAUAAAUCACAAUGCGGAACUUUUAGUUUUGCAAUUGGAUUGAGAACAAUGUACAAAUGUUAUCGAUAAACAAUUGGAGGGCAAGUCUGGUGCCAGCAGCCGCGGUAAUUCCAGCUCCAAUAGCGUAUAUUAACGUUGUUGCAGAAAAAAAGCUUCAA